rnacentral:rRNA from 1 species
AUGAACGCUAGCUACAGGCUUAACACAUGCAAGUCGAGGGGAAACGACAUCGAAAGCUUGCUUUUGAUGGGCGUCGACCGGCGCACGGGUGAGUAACGCGUAUCCAACCUGCCCACCACUUGGGGAUAACCUUGCGAAAGUAAGACUAAUACCCAAUGACGUCUCUAGAAGGCAUCUGAAAGAGAUUAAAGAUUUAUUGGUGAUGGAUGGGGAUGCGUCUGAUUAGCUUGUUGGCGGGGUAACGGCCCACCAAGGCAACGAUCAGUAGGGGUUCUGAGAGGAAGGUCCCCCACAUUGGAACUGAGACACGGUCCAAACUCCUACGGGAGGCAGCAGUGAGGAAUAUUGGUCAAUGGACGAGAGUCUGAACCAGCCAAGUAGCGUGCAGGAUGACGGCCCUAUGGGUUGUAAACUGCUUUUAUAAGGGAAUAAAGUGAGCCUCGUGAGGCUUUUUGCAUGUACCUUAUGAAUAAGGACCGGCUAAUUCCGUGCCAGCAGCCGCGGUAAUACGGAAGGUCCGGGCGUUAUCCGGAUUUAUUGGGUUUAAAGGGAGCGUAGGCCGGAGAUUAAGCGUGUUGUGAAAUGUAGACGCUCAACGUCUGCACUGCAGCGCGAACUGGUUUCCUUGAGUACGCACAAAGUGGGCGGAAUUCGUGGUGUAGCGGUGAAAUGCUUAGAUAUCACGAAGAACUCCGAUUGCGAAGGCAGCUCACUGGAGCGCAACUGACGCUGAAGCUCGAAAGUGCGGGUAUCGAACAGGAUUAGAUACCCUGGUAGUCCGCACGGUAAACGAUGGAUGCCCGCUGUUGGUCUGAAUAGGUCAGCGGCCAAGCGAAAGCAUUAAGCAUCACACCUGGGGAGUACGCCGGCAACGGUGAAACUCAAAGGAAUUGACGGGGGCCCGCACAAGCGGUGGAGCAUGUGGUUUAAUUCGAAGCAACGCGAAGAACCUUACCAGGUCUUGACAUCGAUCUAAAAGGGAUGGAGACAUCCUCAUAGCUAUAGAGAAGACAGGUGGUGCAUGGUUGUCGUCAGCUCGUGCCGUGAGGUGUCGGCUUAAGUGCCAUAACGAGCGCAACCCCUCUCCUUAGUUGCCAUCAGGUCAAGCUGGGCACUCUGGGGACACUGCCACCGUAAGGUGUGAGGAAGGUGGGGAUGACGUCAAAUCAGCACGGCCCUUACGUCCGGGGCUACACACGUGUUACAAUGGCAGGUACAGAGAGACGGUCCCUUGCAAAACGGAUCAAAUCCUUAAAGCCUGUCUCAGUUCGGACUGGGGUCUGCAACCCGACCCCACGAAGCUGGAUUCGCUAGUAAUCGCGCAUCAGCCAUGGCGCGGUGAAUACGUUCCCGGGCCUUGUACACACCGCCCGUCAAGCCAUGAAAGCCGGGGGCGCCUAAAGUCCGUGACCGUAAGGAGCGGCCUAGGGCGAAACUGGUAAUUGGGGCU